rnacentral:precursor_RNA from 10 species
UUGCUCAAGGACACACACGCCCACAGUGGUAGCAGCGUCGACCUCAAACCUGUAUAACCUCCGGGUUGGAGGCAGGCGCGCCAACCACUGUGCGACGGCGACUGACAUCCUAAUU